AUCCAGCUAUCCCUCAAGAACGCCCUCUCUCCACGCUUGUGCCAAUUUCUUCGCCCUCCACCAGUGAGCACGCCAAGCCACCGCCCCUUCCUGUUGCCCAGCGCCCCCCUGCAGCGCGCCCGCCCGCCCGCCUCCCUACCCUGGCCGCGGCGGCCUUCGCUCCAUGCACCUGCUUUAGGUUGUGCCGCCGUGCGCCCUCGCUGUGCCGGCCGACCUCGCCGCGGCCUGACCCAGUCAUCGUCCCUGCUUCAUCUCCCCGUCAUGCUCCUCCAUGGGCGUGGUGAUCACCUAUGCCGUCGUAGCCAUGCCUUGGGCGCCACACCGGCCGUCAGCCUCAUCUCUCUGCUCGCCUGUCUCCUUGCCUCCCUGUGCUCACCACGCCGGACGCCGCUCCCAACCCUCCACACUUCCCUCCCCAGGCCGCGGCGGCCUUCGCUCCAGCUCUGCCUCGCCAUCGACUGAGUCCCCACGUCCCUGCGCGGCGACGUGCUCGCCCAGGCCCUGCCAAGGACUCCUGCGAACUCCAACCUCAUCGCCUAGCCCCGCCACCGUUUCUAAAGUGAUGAUCCAUUCAGCAUGUCCUCGUGCUCAUCGCAUGGAUCAUAUCUGGGCUCACACUGGGGCUCGUCGCUCGGCCUCGUCGAGCUAGAGAUCCUCCAACAUAGCAGCACAGACGCCAAGAAGGCUUAGCUGUCAUCCUUCUAGUUGUUCAAAAGCAGCACUAGCUUCAUGUCACCCUAUUGUUGUGUAAUGUUGCUGCCAUGGAGCCUUUGCAGGCACUUCCUAUAUUUCUUGAUAGGAUGUUUCAUCAUGUUCUUGCUGUAAUAUCGUCAGUGACAUUUGUUCUUGCCUUUGGAGAGGGAUCAUAUCUGAGCUCAGACUGGGGCUCAUGUCGCUCGGCCUAAUGUAGCAGCACAGGCAUUUCAGGAGACCAUUGAUAGUAUGAUGAGGUCGAUGCAAAAAAAAAUAACAACCACCUUCAUCAACUAUUAAGCUUCAGUCGAGGUCAAGCGUGUCCAUCUUUAAGUCUGCUUGACCACUAUAGGAUCUGUAACCUUAUGGAUGUUAUAGUAGCUAGUAACAAUAUGCUUAAUAUUUAGUACUUUGAGUUGAAGUUAUAGGAUUUUCUUUGGAAUUGAAGUUAAAGGAUUUGUAGAUAUAUGUUUUGACGUUAUAUGAUUCUCUAAUGGAUGAAAUAUUCGUGUUCAACAUAUUAAUAUGAUAUUUUGGUUGUGAUGUGUAAUAUUCCAUGAUGGUAUGAAUUCA